UAUUUACGUAUACAUGUGUGUGUGUACAUAUGUAUGGAUGUAUAUACAUGUAUAGAGGUAUCUAAGUAUGCGUAUGUGUCUAUACGUACUUAUAUACAUGCAUACAUGCAUGUGUGUGUGUAUAUUCAUGCACGGAGGAUUCUUACAAACUAUUUAUCUUAAUCAUUAGUUUAUGGUAUAUGUUUGGAUAAAAUAUCUGUUGCUGUGCUUCUCCAAUUGGGUGAUGUGGCGAGAGUAGUUGGACUACAUGGUGUUAGCUCUCGUCGAGCUAGAGUGGCUGGUCUA
rnacentral:lncRNA from 1 species